ACAUACAACUUUCAACAACGGAUCUCUUGGCUUUCGCAUCGAUGAAGAACGCAGCGAAAGUGCGAAACGUAAUGUGAAUUGCAGAAUUCAGUGAAUCAUCGAAUCUUUGAACGCAUCUUGCGCUCUUCGGUAUUCCGAGGAGCAUGCCUGUUUGAGUGUCGUGACAAUCUCUCGACCUUCCCCUCGCGUUCGCGUUCGGAGGGUCGGAUUUUGGACGUUGCCGUCUUUCACCGGAAGGCUCGUCUCGAAAUGCAUUAGCCUCGUUCCGGCCUCGGUCCUUCCACAGACGAUAUGGCGUGAUAAUGAAAAAACUCGCUGGCGUCGGUGUCGGGCCUUGGAGACGGGGUGGGCUCACAGUCGUCUCCGGACAAUUUCCCUCGAUCUGACCUCAAAUCAGGUAGGACUACCCGCUGAACUUAAGCAUAUCAAUAAGCGGAGGAAAGGAAACUAACAAGGAUUCCCCUAGUAACGGCGAGUGAAGCGGGAAGAGCUCAAAUUUGUAAUCUGGCGGUCUCAGGCC
rnacentral:rRNA from 1 species